CUGAAGAGACCUCAGCUUCACGGUGUUGUGUCGAGUUGUCCGCACCUCGCGGGAUUUUCGGGUUAAUUUAUCACCGUUGAUGAACAACAUAAAGAAUAUUUUAUCGUUUUUAAAUAGCCGGCUACUUGAAAUAGACCCGCGGGGAACCGCGACGUGCGUGCAGUUGUCGGCAGCAGUAAUGCACGUAAAAGUCUGCACAAGACCGUUGAUUGACAGGCGAGAGAGAGAAAAGGAUCUUCAAAAAGCCUCAGUUUAGCUGGAAAUUUACAGUGUAAGUUGAAUGAAAAGAGACUGCAGCUCUGCAGCUUCUCAAGAUUAUAGCGGAGCUAAUUGCCGCGCAGAAAAACACACGAUUCAACUAUCAGUCGACUAUAGGCAGGACUUGACGAUUCUGAUUCGACUAUGUAAAUCCUUAGUCGGGGACAGCCCUACACUGAGCAGCAGGCCGACUAGCUGAGCCCUUCACUCUUGUGAGUUCUUGACCUGACGUGGUGCAUCGGCCCUGACGAGACUGACAAAAAGGGUUGAAGAGGCACCACCUCUCUCCAUCCUGCACGACCUUCCUUCCCUCCUCCAAGAGAGGGGCCAUCCAUCCAUUCGCUCACCCAUACUUCCAUCCGCCCAUCUGGCUGACUGAUGCACAGAAGGGGAACGAGACUGUCAAGAUCCCUGAACCUCAGCCGAACCAUUCUCUCUCUCUCUGUCUCUCUCUCUCUCUGUCUCCUUCCCUCCCUAGCCAUUAGAAGUGGUUGAAGGACUGAUAACCGUGCUGCUGCAGCUAUUCCCUGCGGACAGAAAGACAGACACACAUGGAGCAAACAACCACGUUAGAAGCAGGACAGAAACGCACGUGCAGUGUAAUGGGAAGGUGAGUCACAAAAGGAGAAGAAAAGAGAGGGGCGAGAUCAGAGAAUUGAGGGAGUCGGGCAGGGAGAGGGAGGAGCAGUAUGAAAGAAGAGGUGGAGAGAUCAGAGAAAAAGAGUUGAUGGAUUUCCUGUCUGAAUAAAUGAAGAGGAGGGAAGCUGUUUGAUCAAUGAGCUGUCUAUCCUCUCCUCACCCUUCUGCGCCUCGGCUGGAUGGAGUUUUCACUACACAAACAAAACGGAAAAUGUAAUUUUCCCAAUUUAAAUACCUCCUGCAGUAUGUGGAUCCCAUGUGUUAAAAGGCGAUUAAUAAUGAAUA